UUAUUGCAAGUUGCGUUAGGGAUUGAAGUGGAAAUACUUUUUUGAUUAGCUGAAAGGCGAAGUAAAAAAGAUUGAAACGAAAAGCCCGGCCCGCC
rnacentral:sRNA from 1 species